GACGAACGCUGGCGGCGUGCUUAACACAUGCAAGUCGAACGGAAAGGCCCUGCUUUUGUGGGGUGCUCGAGUGGCGAACGGGUGAGUAACACGUGAGUAACCUGCCCUUGACUUUGGGAUAACUUCAGGAAACUGGGGCUAAUACCGGAUAGGAGCUCCUGCUGCAUGGUGGGGGUUGGAAAGUUUCGGCGGUUGGGGAUGGACUCGCGGCUUAUCAGCUUGUUGGUGGGGUAGUGGCUUACCAAGGCUUUGACGGGUAGCCGGCCUGAGAGGGUGACCGGCCACAUUGGGACUGAGAUACGGCCCAGACUCCUACGGGAGGCAGCAGUGGGGAAUAUUGCACAAUGGGCGGAAGCCUGAUGCAGCAACGCCGCGUGCGGGAUGACGGCCUUCGGGUUGUAAACCGCUUUCGCCUGUGACGAAGCGUGAGUGAUGGUAAUGGGUAAAGAAGCACCGGCUAACUACGUGCCAGCAGCCGCGGUGAUACGUAGGGUGCGAGCGUUGUCCGGAUUUAUUGGGCGUAAAGGGCUCGUAGGUGGUUGAUCGCGUCGGAAGUGUAAUCUUGGGGCUUAACCCUGAGCGUGCUUUCGAUACGGGUUGACUUGAGGAAGGUAGGGGAGAAUGGAAUUCCUGGUGGAGCGGUGGAAUGCGCAGAUAUCAGGAGGAACACCAGUGGCGAAGGCGGUUCUCUGGGCCUUUCCUGACGCUGAGGAGCGAAAGCGUGGGGAGCGAACAGGCUUAGAUACCCUGGUAGUCCACGCUGUAAACGGUGGGUACUAGGUGUGGGGUCCAUUCCACGGGUUCCGUGCCGUAGCUAACGCUUUAAGUACCCCGCCUGGGGAGUACGGCCGCAAGGCUAAAACUCAAAGGAAUUGACGGGGCCCCGCACAAGCGGCGGAGCAUGCGGAUUAAUUCGAUGCAACGCGUAGAACCUUACCUGGGUUUGACAUGGAUCGGGAGUGCUCAGAGAUGGGUGUGCCUCUUUUGGGGUCGGUUCACAGGUGGUGCAUGGCUGUCGUCAGCUCGUGUCGUGAGAUGUUGGGUUAAGUCCCGCAACGAGCGCAACCCUUGUUCACUGUUGCCAGCACGUUAUGGUGGGGACUCAGUGGAGACCGCCGGGGUCAACUCGGAGGAAGGUGGGGAUGACGUCAAGUCAUCAUGCCCCUUAUGUCCAGGGCUUCACGCAUGCUACAAUGGCUGGUACAGAGAGUGGCGAGCCUGUGAGGGUGAGCGAAUCUCGGAAAGCCGGUCUCAGUUCGGAUUGGGGUCUGCAACUCGACCUCAUGAAGUCGGAGUCGCUAGUAAUCGCAGAUCAGCAACGCUGCGGUGAAUACGUUCCCGGG
rnacentral:rRNA from 1 species